AAAUGAGUCAAUCUGUAUUAGAGAUGAUAUUCUAAAAGUCUACCAACAGCCAUCUUCAAGUAUAAAAUGGAACAUUGAGAGCAGCAUAUAGCUGAAACUUCAUCAUGUCUUUUUCCAUAGUUAAAAGAUUUAUUUGCCUUAUCUGUCACCUACAACCUGCUAUAGAUUAACUUAGCUAACAAACCAUUUUUGAACUUUGUCCUUAAAAAAUAUAUGACAUUUCAAGAACAAGCUUGGAAACCAAAAUUCUGCAUGCCAAUGUAAAAUAUUGUAUCAUACAACUGGUUGUAGGUGAUUCAUCCUCAUUUGCUUUUAUUUAAAAAUUUAGUUUAUGAUUUUGACUUUGGCGAGUGUUACAUAGGUUUUUAGCUUGAUAUAAUUAUCAUUGUUCUAUAUUUUAUUAGAUGAGGUUUUCUAAGCCCAGAUGUGUGCAUAAGGUUGUUCAUGUAAACACCAACGUGUGUGCCCACGUGGUGCACAUGCAUGAGAUCUAGCUGUCCAUCACGUGGGUCCCAUCAUAUACGUCCCCUGGAGCCUGGACCCAAAAUCAGUCUGGUCUAGUCACAUCUGGCAUGCACAAUGAUAGACAUAGUUGGAUGGUUUAGAAAAACUUGCACAAAGUUCUGUCAGCCAUCCGUUUCUCUUGUAAAUUGUGGGCCACCUGUUGGUCUAACUAGCCUGAUUUUUGUUCAGAGAAUUAAAAAAAAGAUGUGAAUCACCCGAUGGACAGCUUGGAUCUCAUGCUGAUGUGCCACGCUGGCACAUGGUUGCAUGCACAUGAGAUGCCUAGGACAUGCAUGUGGGCUUAGGAGAGCUCAGUUAGGAAAUUUUGUGAUUGACUUAGUUUGAUGGAUUCAUUUUUCUUUUGUCAUUCUUGAUGGUUUAAUAUUUAACAUAAUGGAAAGAAUGAACGACCCAUAAAUGAUUUCCUGUUUGCCAUUCAUCACUUUUGAUUGUCUUUAAAUUUCCUUCUGUAGAGUUAUGCCAUGAGGCUCUUGUUUUCUUGGCUCAAAUAUUCUAUGAAGUAUGAAGACAUUGUGUAGUCUUUGUAUGUUGAAAGGCCUUCUUUAUGAGCUAUAUGUAUGUUGAAAAACUGCUAAAACUUGAUUUGAACUUGACUUAAUCAGGCACAAGGAGUUUAUGCUUUAACCCACGUACUCAUUUAGUUUUUGCUGGAUCAACCGCCGGAUAUUCUCAUUGUUGGGACCUUCGGACAAUGAGACCUCUAUGGGAGAGGCGAAUAAGUCCAAAUGUCAUUUACUCCAUGCAACAUAUGCAGAACGACACUUCAACACUAGUUGUCGGGGGUACUGAUGGUGUGCUGCGUAUUUUGGAUCAGAAUACAGGCAAAUUUCUUGCGGGUUAUGUGAUGGAUAAAAGUACCACAGCAGUGACCCCCUCUUGUAGUAGACUGGGCACUGUUGAGAAGAAAAAGGUGAAGGCUCUGCCAGAAGAUGCCUGCAUUGAUGGUAUACCAAGACACCUACGGCCACCCAUCACGUGUGUGGGUGUUGGAAUGAAGAAGGUUGUCACCACACAAUGGCAAAUACAUCAUGAUGUGGAAAUUCAAAAAUUAGCUCGUAAAAUGCAGUUUUGCCCCAUUUAUUUCUCCUUUAAAUUAUGAUCUUCAACGCAUCCUCAAUUAAAUUGUCGUCCACUUGAUUAUUAGUUUUGGGUUGUUUCAAGUGAUACCAGAGGCAAACUAGUGCAUUUGAAUCCAUGUUGUGAACAAGAUGGUAUUAUUUAAGUUUUAACAUCACCUCUUUCUGAUAUUAAGGCAUUGGUGGGGCCCACCUGGUAAUGUAAACCAUUGAUCUGAUUCGAAUUGUAGGCUCAGGAUCGAUUUGGAUGGGCCCACAUAUAUUGUUUAUUGGAUUGAGUAAAAGCUCAAUUGAGCAUUACCUAUUUUUGUAUGAAGAAGCUAUGAAUGGAUGUGCUUUUCUCUUGGGCA